CCUGCUCGGGACUCCGCCUGCUGAAAGGACGGAGGCUGUAGUCUGGCGUCUGUGGAAGGCCCGAUGAAAGUAAUGGAAGUCUGUCGAUGGCCUAAGCAAGCACCAACAUGACCACAAGAUGUCCCAAGAGCAUGAGCUCUAGUGUGUUUUGCUGGAAGUUCAGAAGCUCACAGAGAUAGCCCUAUGUGGUGAAAGCCUCUGAGCAUGAGAAGGGCAUGUAGGAAAAAGUUACAAAGUACUGAUUGCGCAGCUGUCCUGCAACUUCAUGAGGAAGAAUUGUUAGAACCAGCCUGAGACCAGUGACAGUCUAUGCAAGACUACUCCAUAAGAAGCAAAAAACUAUUAAAAAGAUGGAAUAUUAAGCCUGCAUGUAGUAACACAAGGUGCUUUUAACUGUAUCGGGGCAGUGUCUGGUAAUGUUUAUGUAGACAAAAAAUAAAGAUUUAUGUUUCUGUUCUCAGAA